GUCAUUGUUUCUGGCGAUUUGAAUUAUGGCCCAGACGGCAAUGCGGCAUUCAGGAUGGGUAGAACAUCCUUUUGGAGGACAUGUCUGACGACAGUUGGCGUCAUGUAACAAAACAAGUAAUAUAUACAAAAUGGAUGUGUGCGUUUUAGAGGCCAUGAAAAAUUGUGAGACACGUGCGUGGAGCCAAUGACAGAACGAAAUGUUUGGAAUAGGUUUUCAUACCGGAGUGGGAGGUUUCAAUCAUAGUCUGCUGACAGAAGUGCUUCUUUUGGAACACAUAAGGAAGCGAUUAUGGUUUUCAAUUCGAUAAGGAUGAAAAAGCCAUAUUUUUUAUAAAAUUUCAACAUUCUGCCAGAUGGGCUGCGCCCAGAAGAACAUGCCCAAGAUGGGGCAGAACAACAACGGCAGUUGGUCAAAAACAACUUUCACUUUGGGC